CGGGUGAAAAGCCCGCUCGCCGGAAGACCAAGGGUUCCUGUCCAACGUUAAUCGGGGCAGGGUGAGUCGACCCCUAAGGCGAGGCCGAAAGGCGUAGUCGAUGGGAAACAGGUUAAUAUUCCUGUACUUGGUGUUACUGCGAAGGGGGGACGGAGAAGGCUAUGUUGGCCGGGCGACGGUUGUCCCGGUUUAAGCGUGUAGGCUGGUUUUCCAGGCAAAUCCGGAAAAUCAAGGCUGAGGCGUGAUGACGAGGCACUACGGUGCUGAAGCAACAAAUGCCCUGCUUCCAGGAAAAGCCUCUAAGCAUCAGGUAACAUCAAAUCGUACCCCAAACCGACACAGGUGGUCAGGUAGAGAAUACCAAGGCGCUUGAGAGAACUCGGGUGAAGGAACUAGGCAAAAUGGUGCCGUAACUUCGGGAGAAGGCACGCUGAUAUGUAGGUGAAGUCCCUCGCGGAUGGAGCUGAAAUCAGUCGAAGAUACCAGCUGGCUGCAACUGUUUAUUAAAAACACAGCACUGUGCAAACACGAAAGUGGACGUAUACGGUGUGACGCCUGCCCGGUGCCGGAA
rnacentral:rRNA from 1 species